UACGAAGGGGGCUAGCGUUGUUCGGAUUUACUGGGCGUAAAGCGCACGUAGGCGGAUCUUUAAGUCAGAGGUGAAAUCCCAAGGCUCAACCUUGGAACUGCCUUUGAUACUGGGGAUCUCGAGUCCGGAAGAGGUUGGUGGAACUGCGAGUGUAGAGGUGAAAUUCGUAGAUAUUCGCAAGAACACCAGUGGCGAAGGCGGCCAACUGGUCCGGUACUGACGCUGAGGUGCGAAAGCGUGGGGAGCAAACAGG
rnacentral:rRNA from 1 species